GCACGUCAGUCCGUGGCAGUUUCCGUCUCUAGUCUUUCACCCCUCCCCGUCGGUCUCGGGUUCUCGGCGGCGGAGAGGAAAGCGAGGUAGGAGAUGGCCACCUAUUUCAUGCUCAACACCGGCGCCCGCAUCCCCUCGGUGGGGCUCGGCACCUACAAGGCCGGCCCCGGCGUCGUCGGCGACUUGAUCGCCGCCGCCGUCAAGGCCGGGUACCGGCACAUCGACUGUGCGCGCCUGUACAACAACGAGAAGGAGUACCUUCUUGUGUCCCCCGCCCUAGAUUGGUGUUGCUCUGAAGAAAGUCUUCGAUGACGGCGUCGUCAAGCGAGAAGACCUGUUCAUCACCUCCAAGAUAUGGUAGUAUACUUCCUUGGAGUUGACCCUGAAGCCUCAGGGUAUUGAUUCCCUAGCCAAUUUAUCAUUAUGUCCAUCAAUCUCGUAACAACCGGAGAAUCAAGCUUUGCAGGUGCAGCGACCUCGCACCCGAAGACGUUCCGCUGGCAAUCGACAGCACUCUGAAUGUUUUGCAGCUGGAUUACCUUGAUCUCUAUCUGAUUCAUUGGCCCUUUCAGAUAAAGAAAGGCAGUGAAGUUAGUCCUGAGAACUUUGUCCAGUUUGAUAUGCCCAAGACUUGGCAAGCAGUGGAGAAGCUGUACGAUUCAGGCAAAGCUCGCGCGGUCGGCGUGAGCAACUUUACGUCGAAGAAGCUGGCCGAUUUGCUUGCUAUAGCCCGUGUUCCUCCCGCCGUUAAUCAGGUGGAGUGCCACCCCGGCUGGCAACAGGCGAAACUCAGAGCGUUCUGCCACUCCACUGGAGUUCAUUUCUCUGCGUAUGCGCCUCUGGGAAGGAUGAAAGUUGUUGCGAAUAAUCCGGUGGUGACAUCAAUAGCCGAGCUCUUGGGGAAGACUCCGGCGCAGGUUGCCCUACGGUGGGGAAUUCAACAGGGUCAGAGCGUGCUUCCUAAAAGUGCCAAUGAGUCAAGGUUGAAGGAGAACAUUGGCCUGUUUGGUUGGUCUAUUCCUGACGAACUGUGUGCCAAGUUUUCUGAAGUUGAACAGGUUAAGCAGAUCAGAAACGAUUCAUUUGUGCACCCUCAGAGUAUGUACAAAACAAUUGAGGAGCUGUGGGACGGUGAGAUCUAAAUGAAAAUCAUCACCGUUAUGAAAUCAAAUCCGUGACAAGAGUUAACAUUCAUGCCAUGAAAUUGGCACACUUUUUACCUUUGGAGGGAAAAAUAAUGAAAUAGGAGGCAUCAUGCUGUCGUUGUGAAGUUCGUUCAGAAAGAAACGAGCAUGGCGCGGAUUCUGUUGCAUUUUUUACAGGAUUAAGUCAUAUUAGCAUUGUUUUUUUUAGCAAGUCAUGUCAGCAUUGUUGCAUGGUCUGCCUGAAGAUCCAGUGGUGAGGCUAGGAACAAAGCAUAGAACAAACAAAUUUACAACAACUCUCUUUUCUUUUCUGUUCUAGUGCACGUUGUUUAUCGAUGCCUCAAUAGCUUUGGUCGUAGUUUUUUAAACAAUUGAAAAACCCCGGCCUGUGGGUUUCCACUCGGCCUUGGGCAUGUAAGCUUUUUCAUUCUUCUGCUUAAUACAAUGAAGCUCUCCUUCAUAUUCC